CUGAAGCUCACCUGGAAGACCCAAAAGACCGAACACCGUUGAGGAUAUCCGGAUGUUUAGUUGCUAGUACUGGCAUAAUUACAAUGCCAUUUAAAGAAAUGUUAGGCGAAACUCAGCAGGGGUUUUCAUAUUGCAGUUAUUACGCAAUUAUAGGAUAACUGUCACAUGACUAUCAGACAAGUAUAACUUUGUUCGAUUGUUUGACAGUCCAUGAAAGCGUGACCUAAGAAUUUAGAUGUUCAAACGGACCAACUGCUUUGGAAUAUGGUUAAAUUAGUUGUAGUUUAUAUAAUCCUGGCAUCUGCAGUUCAUGCGCGAUUACUUCGAAAGAGGCGAUCUCAAUGUCUGCAAGUUUGUUUUGCCUCACGGUGCCCGGCCCCGCCAGAGUCAUGCUACUACGGUUUAGUGAAGGACGACUGUGGAUGCUGCUCGGUGUGUGCAUCCGGGGAGGGUGACCUUUGCGGAGAGCACGGGAAUAGCCUUUGUGGCGAGGGGUUGAGGUGUGAUUAUGAAGAAAGAAAGCGCAAAAUCCACGGUCUGUGCGUUUGCCUCAAUUCAGAACCUGCAUGCGGGAGUGAUGGAAGGACUUAUCCAAGUAGUUGCCGUUUGAGAGCCGAAAAUAGGAGAGCAAAGCUCAAUGGAACUCCCCAGGUCAUCUUGAUCCAAAAAGGCCACUGUAAUUCAGGUUUCAGGAACCCUGACAGUAUGCGUUACAAAUUUAACUUCAUCGCUGAUGUGGUGGAUAAGAUAGCUCCAGCGGUAGUUCAUCUAGAGCUGUUCAGAAGCCUGCCAUUCUCCAACCAGGAAGUCCCCGUCUCAAGUGGUUCGGGGUUCAUCGUAUCAGAAGAUGGAUGGAUAGUCACCAACGCUCACGUCCUCUCUAACAAGCAGCGAAUUAAAGUGGAGCUGAAGAGUGGGGUCCAGUUAGACGCCACAAUCAAGGAUGUGGACCCGAAACUGGACAUCGCCCUCAUUAAAAUAGAGUCUGACACACCUCUACCAGUGCUCCUGUUAGGACGUUCAUCUGACCUGCGACCGGGAGAGUUUGUGGUGGCAGUGGGAAGUCCCUUCUCCCUUCAAAACACAGUCACCACUGGUAUCAUAAGCACCACUCAACGCAACGGUCACGAGUUAGGCCUCAAGGAUUCAGACAUGGAGUACAUCCAAACCGAUGCAAUCAUCAAUUACGGAAACUCAGGGGGACCACUUGUUAACUUGGACCGAGAGGACCAAGGAUGGGGAUGUUAUUGGCAUAAAUACAUUGAAGGUUACAGCUGGAAUAUCCUUUGCCAUACCAGCGGACAAAAUACGCCAGUUCCUUUCAGAAUCUUACACCAGACAAAUCAAAGGAAAGACAUUUCCCAGAAAGAAAUACAUGGGGGUCCGAAUGCUGCAACUCUCGACUGCUUUGAUUCGUGAUCUGAAAAAGCGGGAAAGUGAUUUCCCAGACGUGAUUUCAGGAGUGUACGUUUAUGAAGUGAUCCCUGGAAGCGCUGCCUCCAGCGCCGGCAUGCUCAACAACGAUGUAAUCAUCAGCAUCAACGACCAGUCGGUUCACACUACAGAGGACGUGAGCGAGGCAGUUCAGGCAGGACAGCCACUCUCUGUCAUGGUACGGCGUGCUAAUGAAGACGUCAUGCUGACUGUUGUCCCUAAAGAUAUUGAUUGAGUGGCAUUUCCUCUGUGUGGCUUUCCAGUGAAUUCAAACACAGGCUUUUUCAUUCACACAAACACCAUGUGUUUUUACCCUUCAAACAUUUUAUUCACAUUACACACAAAUGAACAUAUAUUUUGUGGACAGAUAAAAUAUCCUUUUACAAACAGUCUCUUAUGUGAUAUUAAUUCUUUGAGUGAGAAUAUUUCCAGUGCCUAAAUCUGUCUGAACUAGGUCUAUACUUACAUUUUGCCCCUUUAAGAUAGACCAGGUAAGAUGUAGUC